rnacentral:rRNA from 1 species
UACAGAGGAUGCAAGCGUUAUCCGGAAUGAUUGGGCGUAAAGCGUCUGUAGGUGGCUUUUUAAGUCCGCCGUCAAAUCCCAGGGCUCAACUCUGGACAGGCGGUGGAAACUACCAAGCUGGAGUACGGUAGGGGCAGAGGGAAUUUCCGGUGGAGCGGUGAAAUGCGCAGAUAUCAGGAGGAACACCGGUGGCGAAGGCGGGUCUCUGGGCCGAAAUUGACGCUGAGGAGCGAAAGCUAGGGGAGCAAACGGG